rnacentral:rRNA from 1 species
AGAUUGAACGCUGGCGGCAGGCCUAACACAUGCAAGUCGAGCGGUAGAGAGGUGCUUGCACCUCUUGAGAGCGGCGGACGGGUGAGUAAUGCCUAGGAAUCUGCCUAGUGGUGGGGGAUAACGUUCGGAAACGGACGCUAAUACCGCAUACGUCCUACGGGAGAAAGCGGGGGACCUUCGGGCCUCGCGCCAUUAGAUGAGCCUAGGUCGGAUUAGCUAGGUUGGUGAGGUAAUGGCUCACCAAGGCGACGAUCCGUAACUGGUCUGAGAGGAUGAUCAGUCAC